UGAUACGAAAUUCAAUUUGGUAAUUGAAAUCACAGGAAUAUAAGUAUAAAUUAGCUACAGUUUGGUUUCGCCCUUUUCGGCUUCGCCUCGUUUGUAACAAGCUAACAACAACAAAGGCGACACUGGCGACAUCUUGAGUUUUGAAUCCUAAGUUGGUUGAACAGUCGCAGUUCAAAUUAUCGGAGUUCUACUGUCUCCGUGUCUCGUAGUGGAGUUCUACUGUCGAGCACUGGAGUUCUAUUGUCGGGUAUUUUAAAAUAAAAUAUUGGGGUUCUAUUGUCGGUGGAGUUCUAUUAUCGGGUAUCUUUAAUAAUAUUGCAACCAACUUAGGAUUCAAAACUCAUUACCAGAUGUCGCUAGUGUCGCCUUGUUGUGUUUACAUCGUGAAACCAGGAAAAAAGGGGUGAAACAAUUAGAUGCGAAUUAAUACUUAUAUUCCUGUGAUUUCAUAUACCAAAUUGAACUUCGUAACUUGUAUGCAUACUGUCAGUCAUUCCAAAAAGUUGACUUAGCGCUCACUUUCCAUCCAAUAUACCCAUCAUGUUGUCAAAAGCCUAAAACUCAUGUGUGAAGCUCACAUAUUGUGGAAUACAAAUGUGCAGGGACAAGGUAUUUCCCUCUUACUGCUACUACACCAACCACACCACGUCUAAUGCCUUACUAAUACUAAAUUCAGCACCACUCACCCAUAUGAUAAAGGAAAUUUACAUCAACCUCAGGAGUAAACCUGUUGGUUGCUGUGAUUUCCAUUUUUGCUGUUUUUUUGUCAUGAAAACUUCAGUAUGCUUGUUAGUAUAGAGCACGUAAAAGAUUUAAUAAGCCAAUGCUGACCUUGGUUCAUGACGAAAGAGGGACAUUCAGCAACGUUCUGCUCCAUCCUUAUCUUCCCGACGUACACUCAUCUAGCUUCACUGCUUUUGCUGCUACUAUUUGUCUUUUACUUCACUGACGAGUUGGAACACACUUCAGUGGUCGCUACCCCUUUGCUGUUAAACACCUCCAGUCACUCACUACGGGAUUAUGCCUAGAUGAUGCAGAGGAGACGUCGAGAAGAUUGACACCAAAACAUCACCGGUAUCUCCAAAGUGUCAGCGCGGAUCAUUAUUUGUUGUUGGUAAUAUGUGUUAGUGUUAGUUAACUUGUUGGUUGCCACGCCUUUGUUCUCCCCUGCUCCUUAGCACGGGCUGCGUGCGCUGUUCGGCCUCGUGGUUUUCAUGCCGAGGGGUCGGAAAGUCGCACCAGCCCAAAACUUGCCGCAAGGCGCCUAUUAGGCAAUGCACCAUACCUAGUUCCCCUUUGUCGAUGCGGUGAUGGAUUCUUCUGUCACCGUGUCAGCCCGGACUUGUCAGCAAUGGCAAGUUCCACCUUGGUCAUAGAUCCUUCAGACGUGGCGCGUAGAGUAGUAGAGAGCAACCUACG
rnacentral:lncRNA from 1 species